AUUGAACGCUGGCGGCAGGCCUAACACAUGCAAGUCGAGCGAGCGGCGGACGGGUGAGUAAUGUCUGGGAAACUGCCUGAUGGAGGGGGAUAACUACUGGGAACGGUAGUUCAUCCCGCGUACAAUCAGGUCUGCCUAGGUGGGAUUAGCUAGUAGGUGGGGUAACGGCUCACCUAGGCGACGAUCCCUAGCUGGUCUGAGAGGAUGACCAGCCACACUGGAACUGAGACACGGUCCAGACUCCUACGGGAGGCAGCAGUGGGGAAUAUUGCACAAUGGGCGAAAGCCUGAUGCAGCCAUGCCGCGUGUGUGAAGAAGGCCUUCGGGUUGUAAAGCACUUUCAGCGGGGAGGCGUUACCCGCAGAAGAAGCACCGGCUAACUCCGUGCCAGCAGCCGCGGUAAUUC
rnacentral:rRNA from 1 species